AAGCCUGUGAGGGACCUUAAAAAGACCAAUCUGAAACAGGGGCGGAGGUGUUAGUGGGGUGGGUGGUGCCAUGGACCUACCCAAAUUUCCAAACUCUUUAACUAGUUUUUCUCGUUCGGAGUAUGAGCGGGGGAACAUCACAUGCUCAUCUCUUCCAUGAACUUGCUCAGUAAUCUAAUCAAAGUUGCAAAUCAAGACCAGACAAGGUUCAAGUUCUAUCUCCAUAAUCCACCAUCCAAUCAAAAAUCCUGAUUCCGCCACUGAUUUGAAACAAUCUUCUUUCGCCACCACAAUCGCCAUCGCAGGGACACCGACUUGUUAAGUCUCAGAUUCAGCUCUAAUGUGGUCAUCUUUAAAGAAAACUAAUAGAUUAAAACUUAAAGAAGCUGAGUACCCCUUGACCUGAUUCGAAGCUUCUGGAGCUGAAGAGAAAUUCCAAGCAAAAGGCGAGAAUAAGUACCGAGACAGAGCAAAAGAAGUUUGAGAAGAUCAAAAUCAUGAUUAGGAACAACUAACUGAAUUACGCGGUCUUUUUAUGUUGUUUCUCUUCCCGGUGCUGCUGACCUUAGGCCAGAAAAUGCAAUGAAGAUAUGAGAACAACAAAGUAUCUUGGAGGCAGUAUGUUGUAAAGGUGGAUUACUUUGUUUGGAAAUUCGGAGUCGACCAUUGUUUAGGUUUCAUAGAGAAUGGUGGAAUGGCUUGCCGAUAGCAGUUUCUCAGUUAAGUUUAUCGACAGUAAGAAGGUAACAACACCAUUUUGUAGAUUUUGUUAUUGUUAA